rnacentral:lncRNA from 1 species
GAAUUUGUUUCGAGUCCUCCUGGAUGGCUGGUGUUGUAAAAACUUAGUGGUAGUUUGCAACACACAGCAGCAGUGCCUCACGGUGCAGCAGCUUGAAGAGGCGGCCAAUGGCGCACCCGUGAGGCAACAAUAAACAUGUCUGAUGCCAACACCCAAGGUCAGCUUCGCACAAUCCCUCUCUCUGUAUAACUGCAAGCUUGUGUGAUGUGCUCUGCUUCCUCCUCCCUUUUUUAAUUAAUGGAUCUCUUACUGGGCAAAGCAUGUUCUUUAGGUUGGCAGCACAAAUUAUAUAGCUAAAUUACCUUCAUCAUAAUUAAAUAAUUGUUGCCACUACCAAUGAUCCAUUCGACGACCCUGAUUAUCUUCUGUGAGCUUACUUUGUUAAGCUCCUCUUAUGGCAGGUGGGAGGACCAUUCAACUGACCAAGUACUGUAUGAUGGUAAUAUAAAAUCUGAGAUUAAGUCAUUCAUUCGGCCUGCUGGUUGGGGAGGUACGGUCUUUCUUGCUCCUCUUCUGUUCGAUAAAAAUGCUUGUGAGCUGAAAGACUCUUGUUUGCUUGUUUCCCUUCCUCUCCAGGUUACUCGACAUAUGCCUCGUUGGUCAGCAAGGUUAGAUGUGUUAUAAUUGUUGUGCUUGAUUACUUCUUGCUGCAUCUUCCAUUAGCUUGUGAAAAAUUUGUCCUUGUUUGAUUAUGUUUGCGCUGGUGAUAAUCUUCUGUUUGCUGCUUGGGAAAACACGUGUGCCCCCUGUUUUCCGUGCACUGCAACAUGUUGUGUGUGCAAGAAGUACCAGUUGCAGCUCAUUAUGAAUAUAGUGCCUGCAGCCGUGCUUCAUAAGCGGAUUAGGUGGUGGUUACUACCUACUUACAGAGGACGGUUUGGUGGGUAGAGCUUUAGGAAGGCCUACUGGAACUAAUUAUUUCUUACCUCUUACCCCUUGUUUAGAUGGAAGUUGUUAUUUGAAUUUGUUGUGAGUGGUUAAACUGAGCUGACUCUGAAUGUGCUUUAUGCAAUUAAACUGAUCAGAGCGGUUUAUUUUUGCGUGUCAACUCCAUAUCAAUUGACAGACGAUCACCGAGUCAUGUGAAGCUCUAUAUGUGCAUCAUCUUUUAGUUCUAAGCAACUAUACUGAAUAGGCUUAUAGAGUAUAUGUCUGUUCCUUAAAAAGGGGAUAUGGAGUAGUACGCGGAAGGGGAUCCAGGAGCGGAUCCAGGAGCAAUAUACAUGUAUGUAUAAGCUUAGUACUACUCCAAACCGACGUAGAAUGUUUUUGCUAUGGAUUUUACAAGUUCUGUAGGUUGAGCAUUUUCUGUGAUUUUCCUGAUAAAUCAAUUGUUAGAAUGAAAUCGUUUAUACAUAGGAAAGUCUAGCCUUAGUCUGACAGUAUGACAAGCAAGUAAGUUAAACGAAUAUGGCCAUGUUUCUUCGUAGCAAAUUAAUCUCUCUUUCUCUCAUCUACAGACAGGUCAUGCAUGGCUAACAUCAUAAAGCAUCAACAGCCAGCAACAAGCAGCGACAUGAACAAAGCAGCCAGUGGCAACAAACAACAAUUAACAUCAGCAGCACGCAGCCAGCAACAUGCAGAGGCGAUUUCUCACCCUGUCGGAAGUGGCGAGGUCGGACAGAGCAGAGCAAUGAGCUCGGGACUGCGACUAUGCCGGUCAACGUCAAGGAAGAAGAAGGAGGGACCAGCGGCUUCGAAUCUGCGGUCCAGAGGAGAUGCAGACAAUGCGGAGUUUGUUCGGUGAGGAGGAUGAUUGCGGCGUCACAGGGGCGGCCUCGGCCCAAGAGGUUCCUGCACGCCAGUGCCCGGAAUCACCAUUUAAGGAACGACAAGAGCAGCAAUGGAGCUAGGGGAACUACCUCGGAGUAAGAACGCACCGGAAAAACAAGGUGGUUCAUGGCACGGCGUCCAGCAGGUGUGAAUGUCAGAGCCAGAGGCAUGGACUUCGAUCUGGACUGAGGGCCAGCGUAUCCCGCUAAUUCCUGAAGCUGGUGUUGCAAUGGCGACCGGCGCCGAGCUAAACGACAAAGGGGAUCCAGGAGAAGAGGAAAUGAAGUGAGGAGGGAAGUAGCAGAAAAUGAGAAGUGGCGGGGGUUUGCGGGCGCGUGGCCCUGCGAGAUGGUGACAUGGAUGUGGUUGUUCAGGGCAUCUUCAACAGGUUGUUGGUUAGUUUGUUGAUAAAAUAUGUCAUGUCAUCAGCCAACACCUUAACAUACAACUACUCCAAUGAAUUAUAUCUAGUUUGACCAAUAAGAUACGAGGUAAUAAAUAAGGUGUUCUCUUAUUCUACAUUGGAGCUUGUGCAAGGGUGUUGGUUAGUUUACAUACAACCUUGUUCUUUUUCCUUAUUUAUUGUAUGAC